UGGUGAAAAGCCUGCAGGCUGCUGUGCUGGGAAAGGCAGACAGAGACAUCCCCCCAUAUUGACGCUGCCGUUUCACCACCACAACAACAGUUCUGGGAAAUGGCCGCCGUCUGUACUGUAGCAACUAUUUACAUGGGACUGAUUCAGCCUGCUUAUCGCUUUCAUCAUCAGCUACGGUGGCUGGUCUUUUACUCCUCCCAUUGAUUCCCUCCUCUCUUUCCCUCUUUUUCACGCCCUCUGUCGGGACUUACAAGGCUUUAUCUUGCAUGAAUGAAAGUCCAGGCAGAGAAGUACAGAGGAAAAUAAUGAAAAAUAAGAAAAGCUGGCCUAGAUAAAACAUUGCCAGAUAUCUGGGACAACCUCUGGAAAAAACCAAUAUCUCGUAAAGUGACCAAGAGGGAAGCAUCGCCUCGAAAAAUACACAGUGUUCUUAAAGUGGUGGAAAGUAACUAAAUGACCAAUUGGAGCCAGAGCCCAAGGCCGAGAACCAGUGGACUAAAGAGAAGCGAGGACAGUAAAGUUCUACUUAUGUAAUGAUGCAUUCGAAUAUAAUGUCAUAUAUAAUGAUAUUUAAAUGGCUGGGGCUGUUUUCUAUAUGAUAAGGUCUUUAACUUUUGAUCCUUUAAGUACAUUUUGCUGAAUAGACUUGAAAUGCAUCUAUUUGUGGUAUUGUAAGUAAAGGAUGUAAAUACUUCUUCCACCACUGAUGAAUAUUAAAGCUAAGGGGAACGGUUGGCUGCACAAAUGUUACAUAUGUUUUUCUGAGAAAGACCCUAAAGAAAAACGCACUCGCCUGUAACACAGAAGAGCUCUGAAAGGAUGCAUUAGGACAAUAUCAGCCCUCUGUGAUCACAUGCCUUUGUCUCUUCUGUUGAAAAGGUGACUGGCUACGCAACAUGCCUGCGUGAUUUCGUCAGCGGCUGCAUCAUAUCAACCUGGAGGCGGGCCAGUGGCACUACACCACCUGCUCUACCUCCCUCCCUCCCCUUCACCUCUGAGUGCCAUAUGCCCACCUGCUUCCAUGGGUUCAUCCUCCAGAUCAUACCUCGAGGCAGUGAAGACAUUAUCUCAGUGGAGUACAAGCGAGAGGUAAAGUGACAGAGGUAGUUUUAAGUGCCUUGCUGUGAACACCACCAAAGCCCUCUGGCUGGUUUGUUGUGAGGCACAGUGAAGUUUUUUAGGUUGGACUAAUAUGAACAGAAGGGGGGUGCAGGUGAGGGGCCGUGGCUCCCCGCUGAAGGCUACCCCUGUGUUUGUUGUUGGUGUUGUUGUUUUAGUCAUAAUACUUUGUGUUUAUCUGGAGAUGAUGUUGACGUUCCCUUGGUGACUGAUAUUAGACAGCUCUUCUGUUUCAUCAGUGGCUGUUGUAAAAAUUUUGGACAGAAAACAAAUAAAUGUCUGGGACAAUUUGCCAGUU